rnacentral:hammerhead_ribozyme from 1 species
ACCCAUCUGACGAGUCCCAAAUAGGAGGAAAUAGGCGUUAUCCUGGAU